UAGUGGCAGACGGGUGAGUAACACGUGGGUAACCUACCUUCAAGCUGGGGAUAACAGUUGGAAACGACUGAUAAUACCGAAUAAGAUAUAGCAAUAUAUUGAAAGGAGCCUUUAAAGCUCCACUUAAAGAUGGGCCUGCGGCGUAUUAACUAGUUGGUGAGGUAAUGGCUCACCAAGGUGACGAUGCGUAGCCGAACUGAGAGGUUGAUCGGCCACACUGGGACUGAGACACGGCCCAGACUCCUACGGGAGACAGCAGUUAGGAAUAUUCGUCAAUGGGGGAAACCCUGAACGAGCAAUGCCGCGUGAGUGAUGAAGGCCCUAUGGGUUGUAAAACUCUGUUGUAUGGGAAGAACGGCUAUAUUAGGAAAUGAAUAUAGAGUGACGGUACCAUACCAGAAAGCUCCGGCUAACUACGUGCCAGCAGCCGCGGUAAUACGUAGGGAGCGAGCGUUAUCCGGAUUUAUUGGGCGUAAAGCGUGCGUAGGCGGUUUAUUAAGUUUAAGAUAAAAGCCCGGGGCUCAACUCCGGUUCGUCUUAAAAACUGGUAGACUUGAGUGUGGUAGAGGUAAAUGGAAUUUCUAGUGUAGCGGUGAAAUGCGUAGAUAUUAGAAGGAACACCAGUGGCGAAGGCGAUUUACUGGGCCAUAACUGACGCUGAGGCACGAAAGCGUGGGGAGCAAAUAGGAUUAGAUACCCUAGUAGUCCACGCCGUAAACGAUGAGUACUAAGUGUUGGAGAUUCCAGUGCUGAAGCUAACGUAUUAAGUACUCCGCCUGAGUAGUACGGUCGCAAGGCUGAAACUCAAAGGAAUUGACGGGCACCCGCACAAGCGGUGGAGCAUGCUGUUUAAUUCGAAGAUACGCGAAGAACCCUACCUAGACUUGACAUCCCCGGCAAAGACAUGGAAACAUGUUGGAGGUUACCCGGGAGACAGGUGGUGCAUGGUUGUCGUCAGCUCGUGUCGUAAGAUGUUCGGUUAAGUCCGCUAACGAGCGCAACCCUUAUCCUUAGUUGCUAACAGUAAGAUGAGAACCCUAAGGAGACUGCCGGUGAUAAGCCGGAGGAAGGUGGGGAUGACGUCAAAUCAUCAUGCCCCUUACGUCUAGGGCUACAGGCGUGCUAUAAUGGCCAAUAUAAAGAGAAGCAAUACCGUGAGGUGGAGCAAAACUCCAAAGUUGGUCUCAGUUCGGAUUGAAGUCUGCAACUCGACUUCAUGAAGUUAGAAUCGCUAGUAAUCCUGAAUCAGAAUGUCAGGGUGAAUACGAUCCGCGGGUGUUGCACUCACCGCCCGUCA
rnacentral:rRNA from 1 species